AUGGACUCACACACUCUCACGCAUGAGCAUGGCCGGCAACUAGCUAGCUCACAUACACAUAUGAGACAUAUACCAGAUCAGAUGCACUUGGCACUGAUUCCAGAUACAGCUCCAGGAGCACUUUGUACUGCACGAUGUACACCCCAGAUAGAUGCACGCAGACAUGCAUCAGUAGGAGUAUUAUCUCUCCGGAGAGCUCCGAAGCUAGGUAAACCACCGCGUGCUACUUGCAUACCCGCUCCCGGGCCUAUCAGCAACAGUCUUACCCACACACUAAGCCCUUGUGGCAUCUGUCGACUCGCAAGCCCCCCGUGA
rnacentral:rRNA from 1 species